CUCGGGGCAGCCGGGAACGGAAGUGCCCAGGUCUUCGGCUCUCGAAGCCAGACGUGUUUUAGGGAGCCGCGGAUGCCUGACCCCUUCCUCAUUCAGUCUCUCUAAAAUUGUUGAACCACAACAAGGAUGGUGGAAAUGGUAAAGCUGAGAAUGCUGUAACAUCUAAAACCUGUAGAAGAGAUUCCCACCCUACCGUAGCCCACCCAGGUGAUGCUCCAGCCCGAUUACCAUGUAAUUGGUGGAGCUGAGGAUCGAACCCAGCGCCUCACAUGCAAGACAAGCGCUCUACCACUGAGCUGCAACCCCAGCCCAUCACUAUAUUUUUGAUAAAGUAACCUUAUUAUCAAUAAUAUUUUUUAAAAUCCCCUCUUUCCUAAUUAAAACA